CGGAGGGUGCGAGCGUUGUCCGGAAUCACUGGGCGUAAAGGGCGCGUAGGCGGCCUGAUAAGUAGGGGGUGAAAUCCUGCGGCUUAACCGCAGGGCUGCCUUCUAAACUGUCAGGCUAGAGCACGGUAGAGGCAGAUGGAAUUCCCGGUGUAGCGGUGGAAUGCGUAGAGAUCGGGAAGAACAUCAGUGGCGAAGGCGGUCUGCUGGGCCGUUGCUGACGCUGAGGCGCGACAGCGUGGGGAGCAAACAGGAUUAGAUACCCUGGUAGUCCACGCCGUAAACGAUGGGCACUAGGCGUCGGGGGGAGCGACCCUCCCGGUGCCGUCGCUAACGCAGUAAGUGCCCCGCCUGGGGAGUACGGCCGCAAGGCUG
rnacentral:rRNA from 1 species